rnacentral:lncRNA from 1 species
CAGGCCCAGGGGUACCAGGCAGACAGAGAACAUGGAGAUCGGGUUUCUUACUUCCUGGUCACAAAAUGGCUGCCGAAGUCCAUAAGCUAAAUCCUAAUGAUUCAUGACUACAACCCCAAAAUACGGCACUUCUGCCUGUGUGGAAACAACAGAAGCAGGAAGAUUACUCUCAUUUUUCUCUGGCCUUUUUCCCUUGAAGCAGACUAUAAAGAAGAAUCUGACCUUCCUCUGAAGGAAACCUUCAUUCCAGACAUACCCUCCCUAUAUCCAAAGAACAUCUUUAUCUUUAAAGACACAGAGAUGUCAAGAAGAAUCUGAACAAACAGGCUUUGCCAGAUCCCCCAGUUUACUAAUAUUGAACCAUACUCUUUUGUUCUUCAAUCAUACUUCUGCAUGAUGUCCAUAAAAAUACACAGUUUUCCCCAUUCCUUUUGGGUAUUUAUUCCCGAAAGCUUCUGUGUCAUGUAAAACUUACAUUAAAUAAAUUUGUAUGCUUUU